rnacentral:rRNA from 1 species
AACUUUCAACAACGGAUCUCUUGGUUCUGGCAUCGAUGAAGAACACAACGAAAUGCGAUACGUAGUGUGAAUUGCAGAAUUCAUUGAAUCAUCGAAUCUUUGAACGCACAUUGCGCCCUUUGGUAUUCCAAAGGGCAUGCCUGUUCGAGCGUCAUU